UUUGGUUAAGUUAGAAAGGGCGCACGGUGGAUGCCUUGACACUAGGAGUCGAUGAAGGACGGGACUAACGCCGAUAUGCUUCGGGGAGCUGUAAGUAAGCUUUGAUCCGAAGAUUUCCGAAUGGGGAAACCCACCAUACGUAAUGGUAUGGUAUCCUUAUCUGAAUACAUAGGGUAAGGAAGACAGACCCAGGGAACUGAAACAUCUAAGUACCUGGAGGAAGAGAAAGCAAAUGCGAUUUCCUGAGUAGCGGCGAGCGAAACGGAACAUAGCCCAAACCAAGAGGCUUGCCUCUUGGGGUUGUAGGACAUUCUAUACGGAGUUACAAAGGAACGAGGUAGACGAAGCGACCUGGAAAGGUCCGUCGUAGAGGGUAACAACCCCGUAGUCGAAACUUCGUUCUCUCUUGAAUGUAUCCUGAGUACGGCGGAACACGUGAAAUUCCGUCGGAAUCUGGGAGGACCAUCUCCCAAGGCUAAAUACUCCCUAGUGAUCGAUAGUGAACCAGUACCGUGAGGGAAAGGUGAAAAGCACCCCGGAAGGGGAGUGAAAGAGAUCCUGAAACCGUGUGCCUACAAAUAGUCAGAGCCCGUUAACGGGUGAUGGCGUGCCUUUUGUAGAAUGAACCGGCGAGUUACGAUCCCGUGCGAGGUUAAGCUGAAGAGGCGGAGCCGCAGCGAAAGCGAGUCUGAAUAGGGCGUUUAGUACGUGGUCGUAGACCCGAAACCAGGUGAUCUACCCAUGUCCAGGGUGAAGUUCAGGUAACACUGAAUGGAGGCCCGAACCCACGCACGUUGAAAAGUGCGGGGAUGAGGUGUGGGUAGCGGAGAAAUUCCAAUCGAACCUGGAGAUAGCUGGUUCUCCCCGAAAUAGCUUUAGGGCUAGCCUUAAGUGUAAGAGUCUUGGAGGUAGAGCACUGAUUGGACUAGGGGUCCUCAUCGGAUUACCGAAUUCAGUCAAACUCCGAAUGCCAAUGACUUAUCCUUAGGAGUCAGACUGCGAGUGAUAAGAUCCGUAGUCAAAAGGGAAACAGCCCAGACCGCCAGCUAAGGUCCCAAAGUGUGUAUUAAGUGGAAAAGGAUGUGGAGUUGCUUAGACAACUAGGAUGUUGGCUUAGAAGCAGCCACCAUUUAAAGAGUGCGUAAUAGCUCACUAGUCGAGUGACUCUGCGCCGAAAAUGUACCGGGGCUAAAUACACCACCGAAGCUGCGGAUUGAUACCGAAUGGUAUCAGUGGUAGGGGAGCGUUCUAAGGACAGUGAAGUCAGACCGGAAGGACUGGUGGAGUGCUUAGAAGUGAGAAUGCCGGUAUGAGUAGCGAAAGACGGGUGAGAAUCCCGUCCACCGAAUGCCUAAGGUUUCCUGAGGAAGGCUCGUCCGCUCAGGGUUAGUCAGGACCUAAGCCGAGGCCGACAGGCGUAGGCGAUGGAGAGAAUCCUAAGGUGUGCGAGAGAACUCUGGUUAAGGAACUCGGCAAAAUGACCCCGUAACUUCGGGAGAAGGGGUGCUUUCUUAACGGAAAGCCGCAGUGAAUAGGCCCAAGCGACUGUUUAGCAAAAACACAGCUCUCUGCGAAGCCGUAAGGCGAAGUAUAGGGGGUGACACCUGCCCGGUGCUGGAAGGUUAAGGAGAGGGGUUAGCGUAAGCGAAGCUCUGAACUGAAGCCCCAGUAAACGGCGGCCGUAACUAUAACGGUCCUAAGGUAGCGAAAUUCCUUGUCGGGUAAGUUCCGACCCGCACGAAAGGUGUAACGAUUUGGGCACUGUCUCAACCAGAGACUCGGUGAAAUUAUAGUACCUGUGAAGAUGCAGGUUACCCGCGACAGGACGGAAAGACCCCGUGGAGCUUUACUGUAGCCUGAUAUUGAAUUUUGGUACAGUUUGUACAGGAUAGGCGGGAGCCUUUGAAACCGGAGCGCUAGCUUCGGUGGAGGCGCUGGUGGGAUACCGCCCUGACUGUAUUGAAAUUCUAACCUACGGGUCUUAUCGACCCGGGAGACAGUGUCAGGUGGGCAGUUUGACUGGGGCGGUCGCCUCCUAAAGUGUAACGGAGGCGCCCAAAGGUUCCCUCAGAAUGGUUGGAAAUCAUUCGUAGAGUGCAAAGGCAUAAGGGAGCUUGACUGCGAGACCUACAAGUCGAGCAGGGACGAAAGUCGGGCUUAGUGAUCCGGUGGUUCCGCAUGGAAGGGCCAUCGCUCAACGGAUAAAAGCUACCCCGGGGAUAACAGGCUUAUCUCCCCCAAGAGUCCACAUCGACGGGGAGGUUUGGCACCUCGAUGUCGGCUCAUCGCAUCCUGGGGCUGUAGUCGGUCCCAAGGGUUGGGCUGUUCGCCCAUUAAAGCGGUACGCGAGCUGGGUUCAGAACGUCGUGAGACAGUUCGGUCCCUAUCCGUCGUGGGCGUAGGAAAUUUGAGAGGAGCUGUCCUUAGUACGAGAGGACCGGGAUGGACGCACCGCUGGUGUACCAGUUGUUCUGCCAAGGGCAUAGCUGGGUAGCUAUGUGCGGAAGGGAUAAGUGCUGAAAGCAUCUAAGCAUGAAGCCCCCCUCAAGAUGAGAUUUCCCAUAGCGUAAGCUAGUAAGAUCCCUGAAAGAUGAUCAGGUUGAUAGGUUCGAGGUGGAAGCAUGGUGACAUGUGGAGCUGACGAAUACUAAUAGAUCGAGGACUUAACCAUAUAA
rnacentral:rRNA from 1 species